rnacentral:rRNA from 1 species
AUUGAACGCUGGCGGCCGGCCUAGCACAUGCAAGUCGAGCGGAUGAGAGGAGCUUGCUUCUCGAUUCAGCGGCGGACGGGUGAGUAAUGCCUAGGCAUCUGCCUGGUAGUUGGGGACAACGUUUCGAAAGGAACGCUAAUACCUCAUACGUCCUACGGGAGACAGCCGGGGACCUUCGGGCCUUGCGCUAUCCGAUGAGCCUAGGUCGGAUUAGCUAGUUGGUGAGGUAAUGGCUCACCAAGGCGACGAUCCGUAACUGGUCUGAGAGGAUGAUCAGUCACACUGGAACUGAGACACGGUCCAGACUCCUACGGGAGGCAGCAGUGGGGAAUAUUGGACAAUGGGCGAAAGCCUGAUCCAGCCAUGCCGCGUGUGUGAAGAAGGUCUUCGGAUUGUAAAGCACUUUAAGUUGGGAGGAAGGGUUGUAGAUUAAUACUCUGCAAUUUUGACGUUACCGACAGAAUAAGCACCGGCUAACUCUGUGCCAGCCGCCGCGGUAAGAC